rnacentral:rRNA from 1 species
UACGUAGGGCGCAAGCGUUGUCCGGAAUUAUUGGGCGUAAAGAGCUCGUAGGCGGCUUGUCACGUCGGUUGUGAAAGCCCGGGGCUUAACCCCGGGUCUGCAGUCGAUACGGGCAGGCUAGAGUGUGGUAGGGGAGAUCGGAAUUCCUGGUGUAGCGGUGAAAUGCGCAGAUAUCAGGAGGAACACCGGUGGCGAAGGCGGCGACCUGGGCCAAUACUGACGCUGAGGUGCGAAAGCGUGGGGAGCAAACAGG